UUGGUCACCAGGGUUUUUUAUUGGUUGUCAGUCAUGCACACAUUCAGUGCUUCUGUGACUGACCUCACCCACCAGACUGUAACCUCAAGAGCAAAAUCAGAUUUUUUUAGUGUGCAAAAUGUCUUUCUCAAUAUUGAAAAUCCAUAUGAGUACAUGGACAAUUUCACAUACCAUGUGGACUUGCGAAAUAUUACCUAAUUUAGAGGGUUUGAAAGCUCAGAAGUUGUGUCCGGAG
rnacentral:lncRNA from 10 species